UGCCUGGCGGCAAUAGCGCGGUGGUCCCACCUGACCCCAUGCCGAACUCAGAAGUGAAACGCCGUAGCGCCGAUGGUAGUGUGGGGCCUCCCCAUGCGAGAGUAGGACACUGCCAGGCAU
rnacentral:rRNA from 2 species